UUGUCAUUACCAAGGCUUUUCGAAUGCAGUUUCUCAUUUGCCAUGGGCAUGACCACAAAACAUUUUCCCAGUAGGUUUUCCUUCUGCUAUGUUGGUAGCAUUCAGCCUAUUGGGAACAUUU
ensembl:snoRNA small nucleolar RNA SNORA32